rnacentral:sRNA from 1 species
AUUCUGUCCAAGCGGGGAAGGAUGAGAAGCUUCGACCAAGGUUCGACUUGAGCGCCAGCGAGAGAGCGUUGCCGCAGGCAACGACCCGAAGGGCGAAGCGCGCAGCGCUGAGUAAUCCUUCCCCCACCACCA